ACAGACGGACAUGGCUAGAUCGUCAUAGAAUUUUACGCUGAUCAAGAAUAUAUAUAUACUUUAUAGGGUCGGAAAUGAUUAUUUCGAUGCGUUACAAACGGAAAAACAAAAUUAAUAUACCCUCCAUACUAUGGUGGAGGGUAUAAAAAGUGUUUUCAUUGCUUCGCUUGGCCAAAAGUGGUGAACUGCCGAAUUUGGUUUUCUCCGAUGAGAAAACAUUCGUUCUCAAGCAGUUUGUAAACAAACAAAA